GGACCUUCAUCCUCCAUUGUCCCGUCAUGGCGCAGCGCAGCCCCCGCGCCCACACGGGCGCCGCCAUCUUGCCGCAAAGACUCCGGAAAAGGCGGGCGCGUCCUCUCAGCCAAUAGAAAUAGGGGCGGAGAGUGACGGACAGGCGAGCCGACCAAUGGGAAAGGAAGGUGGGCUCGCCGCGCUGCUCAGCCAAUAGGAAGGGGGUUCAGAGUGAUUGACGGGUGAGGCGACCAAUGGGUGAAGGAAAAUGGUUUGGCGCUGUUUUUUGCGCCCAAUCAGCGCUUUGGAGGCUUUUGUGAACGAAAUGAGGCCUUGAAAUGGGUAAAAACCGGCCCAAAAUGGUUUAUUUUGGUAUAAAAAACCUUCAUUAUAAAUAUAAACUCUAUGGUUGGGACAGAACAGCACAGACAGGCAGAAAAGACGCUCUAGGAUUCAGUCCUCCAGCAUCUCUAUGGUCUCAGGUCCUCCAACGCAGUCCUCCAACAUCUCUAUGGUCACAAGUCCUCCAGAGUCCCUCCAGUCCUCCAGCAUCUCUAUGGUCUCAGGUCCUCCAACGCAGUCCUCCAGCAUCUCUAUGGUCUCAAGUCCUCCAGCGUUCCUAUAGUCCUCCAGCAUCUCUAUGGUCUCAAGUCCUCCAACGCAGUCCUCCAUCGUCUCUAUGAUCCCCCCCACCCCCAUUAUAACCCCAGUCCUCCAACAA
rnacentral:lncRNA from 1 species